rnacentral:rRNA from 1 species
CCUACGGGAGGCAGCAGUGAGGAAUAUUGGUCAAUGGCCGUAAGGCUGAACCAGCCAAGUCGCGUGAAGGAAGAAGGAUCUAUGGUUUGUAAACUUCUUUUAUAGGGGAAUAAAGGUAUCCACGUGUGGAUAUUUGCAUGUACCCUAUGAAUAAGCAUCGGCUAACUCCGUGCCAGCAGCCGCGGUAAUACGGAGGAGGCAAGCGUUAUCCGGAUUUAUUGGGUGUAAAGGGCGGGUAGGCGGGAAAGCAAGUCAGUUGUGAAAACUUGGGGCUCAACCCUGAGCCUGCAUUUGAAACUGGUUGUCUUGAGUACUGGAGAGGCAGUCGGAAUUCGGUGUGUAGCGGUGAAAUGCGUAGAUAUACGGAGGAACACCAGUGGCGAAGGCAGAUUACUGGACAGUAACUGACACUGAGGCUCGAAAGUGUGGGGAGCAAACAGGAUUAGAUACCCCUGUAGUC